CCAGAGCAGGUCUCUGAUGGGGCAGCUGGAAGGGUGGGUCGUGGGCCUGGACCAGGGCUUUCUGGUACCUGCUUGGUGCCAAGGCCACUUCUUCGCCUGACAUGAGGCAUCUGUCAGCCAAGGACUCCCAAGGACAUGGCUGAGCCACUCAGAAACACAGCCACUCCCGAGGGUGAAGAGAGCACUUUGGAAGCCAUGUCACCUCCAUGACCAAGACUGGAAGCCAUCUUGCCUUCAGUAACUACGUGGGGACAAUGGGAGCCCAGGACUGGCCCAGGGCCCCCUGGCAAGUCAGUAACUAA
rnacentral:lncRNA from 1 species